GAUGAACGCUGGCGGCGUGCCUAACACAUGCAAGUCGAACGAGAUGCGUAUUGGAAAGCUUCGGCCGGAAGAUGCGUUAUCUAGUGGCGGACGGGUGAGUAACACGUGGGUAACCUGCCUUAUGGAGGGGGAUAACAGAGAGAAAUCACUGCUAAUACCGCAUAAGCACACAUUGCCGCAUGGCAGAGUGUGAAAAGAUUUAUCGCCAUAAGAUGGACCCGCGUCUGAUUAGCCAGUUGGCAGGGUAAAAGCCUACCAAAGCAACGAUCAGUAGCCGAUCUGAGAGGAUGACCGGCCACAUUGGGACUGAGACACGGCCCAAACUCCUACGGGAGGCAGCAGUGGGGAAUAUUGCACAAUGGGGGAAACCCCGAUGCAGCGACGCCGCGUGAGUGAAGAAGUAUUUCGGUAUGUAAAGCUCUAUCAGCAGGGAAGAUAAUGACAGUACCUGACUAAGAAGCCCCGGCUAACUACGUG
rnacentral:rRNA from 1 species